rnacentral:rRNA from 1 species
AGAAUCAACGCUGGCGGCGUGCCUAACACAUGCAAGUCGAACGAGAAAGUGGAGCAAUCCAUGAGUAAAGUGGCGCACGGGUGAGUAACACGUGACUAACCUACCUUUUAGUGGGGGAUAACCUAGGGAAACCUGGGCUAAUACCGCAUAAUACCUACGGGUCAAAGCAGCAAUGCGCUGGAAGAGGGGGUCGCGGCCGAUUAGCUAGUUGGCGGGGUAAUGGCCCACCAAGGCAGUGAUCGGUAUCCGGCCUGAGAGGGCGCACGGACACACUGGAACUGAAACACGGUCCAGACUCCUACGGGAGGCAGCAGUGGGGAAUUUGCGCAAUGGGGGAAACCCUGACGCAGCAACGCCGCGUGGAGGAUGAAGACCCUUGGGUCGUAAACUCCUUUCGAUCGGGACGAUAAUGACGGUACCGGAAGAAGAGCCCGGCUAACUUCGCGCCAGCAGCCGC